CGUUGGCCUGAUGACAGGGGGUGGGAUCCUACAGUGGUGACUCAAUUGUUUGGUGGGCAGCUAAGUGAGUGGGUGCUAUCCCUUGCGACCCCUAUCAACACCAAUCCGGACAUCAGAGCUUGGGGUCACUCGUAUAUCUCGAGGGUUGCAAUAGCUAAUCCAUACCAGAUUUAUCGGAGGGAGGCUAAUAGACACAUAGACCUGGGCUAGAUUUGGAGGAUGGUA
rnacentral:lncRNA from 1 species